rnacentral:lncRNA from 7 species
CCAUAAGUGCCCCAUAGCUGCCCCAUAACUGCCCCAUAAGUGACCCAUAAGUGACCCAUAGCUGCCCCAUAGCUGCCCCAUAAGUGCCCCAUAAGUGCCCCAUAAGUGCCCCAUAAGUAAGUGCCACAUAAGUGCCCCAUAGCUGCCCCAUAAGUGACCCAUCAGUGCCCCAUAAGUGCCCCAUAGCUGCCCCAUAAGUGCCCCAUUAGGCUGGCCCCAUAGCU